AUUGACCGCUGGCGGCAGGCCUAACACAUGCAAGUCGAGCGGAGUGGCGCACGGGUGAGUAAUGUAUAGCUAAUCUGCCCUACACUAGAGGACAACAGUUGGAACCGGCUGCUAAUACUCUAUAGUGUAGGAUGAGGCUAUAUUUUAUCAGCUAGUUGGUGAGGUAAUGGCUCACCAAGGCUAUGACGCAUAACUGGUCUGAGAGGAUGAUCAGUCACACUGGAACUGAGACACGGUCCAGACUCCUACGGGAGGCAGCAGUAGGGAAUAUUGCUCAAUGGGGGAAACCCUGAAGCAGCAACGCCGCGUGGAGGAUGACACUUUUCGGAGCGUAAACUCCUUUUGUUAGGGAAGCGGUACCUAACGAAUAAGCACCGGCUAACUCCGUGCCAGCAGCCGCGGUAAUAC
rnacentral:rRNA from 1 species